rnacentral:rRNA from 1 species
UACGGAGGGGGCUAGCGUUGUUCGGAAUUACUGGGCGUAAAGCGCACGUAGGCGGCUUUGUAAGUUAGAGGUGAAAGCCCGGAGCUCAACUCCGGAAUUGCCUUUAAGACUGCAGAGCUAGCAGGUGAGAGAGGUGAGUGGAAUUCCGAGUGUAGAGGUGAAAUUCGUAGAUAUUCGGAAGAACACCAGUGGCGAAGGCGGCUCACUGGCUCAUAACUGGA